GUGAGUCAUCGAAUCUUUGAACGCAUAUUGCGCUCUCUGGUAUUCCGGAGAGCAUGCUUGUUUGAGUAUCAGUAAACACCCUCAAACCCUUUCUUUUUUUUAAACAAAGAUAGGUUUUGGAUUUGAGUGAUUCCAACGCGAUUCCCUUCAAGGAUUAGUGGCGGACCACUUGAAAUGCAGGUGCAGCUGGACAUUCUUCUGAGCUCAAAGCAUAUUUAUUUAGUCCUGUCAAUACAUUUUUGUGUUGCGAAUUAUUACUUCUGCUGCAGCUAACAUAAAGGUUGAAAGUCCAAAUGCUGA
rnacentral:misc_RNA from 1 species